rnacentral:rRNA from 1 species
GAUGAACGCUGGCGGCGUGCCUAAUACAUGCAAGUCGAGCGAACAGACGAGGAGCUUGCUCCUCUGACGUUAGCGGCGGACGGGUGAGUAACACGUGGAUAACCUACCUAUAAGACUGGGAUAACUUCGGGAAACCGGAGCUAAUACCGGAUAAUAUAUUGAACCGCAUGGUUCAAUAGUGAAAGACGGUUUUGCUGUCACUUAUAGAUGGAUCCGCGCCGCAUUAGCUAGUUGGUAAGGUAACGGCUUACCAAGGCAACGAUGCGUAGCCGACCUGAGAGGGUGAUCGGCCACACUGGAACUGAGACACGGUCCAGACUCCUACGGGAGGCAGCAGUAGGGAAUCUUCCGCAAUGGGCGAAAGCCUGAUGGAGCAAUGCCGCGUGAGUGAUGAAGGUCUUCGGAUCGUAAAACUCUGUUAUUAGGGAAGAACAAAUGUGUAAGUAACUAUGCACGUCUUGACGGUACCUAAUCAGAAAGCCACGGCUAACUACGUG